rnacentral:snRNA from 1 species
GUGCUUGCUUCAGCAGCACAUAUGCUAAAAUUGGAAUGAUACAACGAAGAUUGGCAUGGCCCCUGCGCAAGGAUGACACGCAAAUUUGUGAAGCGUUCCACAUUUUU